rnacentral:rRNA from 1 species
CACUAUGCCUAGCCAUAAACAUUGAUAGAAAACUACACCCACUAUCCGCCCGGGAACUACGAGCAUCAGCUUGAAACCCAAAGGACUUGGCGGUGCUUUAGAUCCACCUAGAGGAGCCUGUUCUAGAACCGAUUACCCCCGUUCAACCUCACCUUUCCUUGUUUUUCCCGCCUAUAUACCACCGUCGUCAGCUUACCCUAUGAAGGACUUAUAGUAAGCAAGAUUGGCACAGCCCAAAACGUCAGGUCGAGGUGUAGCGUAUGGAAAGGGAAGAAAUGGGCUACAUUCCCUAAUAUAGUGAAAUACGAACGAUACACUGAAAUACGUAUCUGAAGGAGGAUUUAGCAGUAAGCAGAAAAUAGAGCGUUCCGCUGAAACCGGCCCUGAAGCGCGCACACACCGCCCGUCACUCUCCCCGAACUUAAUAGCCCUUAAUACUUAAAACCUAAAAACUGCAAAGGGGAGGCAAGUCGUAA